rnacentral:lncRNA from 1 species
CUCUUCUCCCUCCUGCCUCUCCCAGGCGUGGAGAAAACACAGAGUUAAAGAAACCUGCUCUGAGACGCCUUGGAGCUGCGCUUUCGAGUUCUUCCUUUAAAAUAUGGUGGGGCGAUUUCGUCCCUGCUGUCUUUUUUGGAAAGGUUUGCUCCGUUUGGUAUAACUCGAGAGCAGUGGAAAAGCAGUUAACCUACUUACUGGGAUGUUCGCGGCAGCGCGCACAGCAGGACGGGAUCUGCUGCCGCGGGGCCCUCUGAUCCCAAACUUGUGAUGCACUCUGUUGGUAGGUACCUGCAAUCUCCUCUCUUCGUCCAAAGCCUGGAUUGAUCCCUCAGUGCAAACCUGGCCUCCGACAAGGCUUUAUAACUAGAUCCUCUUUUGCCACACCACCCAAGAGGCGCAGUGCAGGGUGUCCCGUACCUGAUGCUGUCAUUUAACAACAAAGGGAGGCAGCUGCGCCCAGCGCGGGGCUCGGAUGCCUUGGCUGCCAUCCUGGGACGAUCACAUGCAAGACAGAGCAAGCCUCAAAGCUACAACUCGCUCAACUAAAAAUAAAUAAGAGAAAACGCAAUUAGAAACUCUAGGAUAAAGUUACCAAGAUGGCUGCAUUAUCUGUGUGAGCCAGAGGGAUGUGCUUUGCCGACCCAGCCGCUCUGGAGAGAUGGAAACUUGCCCGACCCAGACACUCCAAGGGAAACAACGGCAGCGGAAAGAUGUUGGCUCCUCUCAGAGGCUGCACCCAGGGCAGCGGGGCGGCUGCGCGGGCACCCCUGGGGACCACAUAGGGUGACCUCAGCAGGGAUCCAGAACGCCGUGAAGCUGGGGGGCAACCGAGUCCCCCCCAUUCAACAUAUCCAUUCCCCCCGACUAAAGGAAGCCCUAUAAGCAACCAGAUGGGAUGCUGAGAGCAAAAGGAGCAAAGAGGGAGGGGUUGUGAUGUACGGGGCUGGUGGGCACCGCCAAGCGAAAUCACGUCCGCGGAGCACUUACUUUCGGGGUAAAAAGGCUGCAUGUCUAUUUUGUAAACUUCUUUGGCGUAGUACUCCUCGUCGCUCCGCUCCCUCUCGCAAGUGGCAGCUCUGUGGUUGGCUUUCUCCUGCAGCAGGUCCCUGGUGCUGUUGUAGAUGGAGAUGACCUCCGGGGGCACCUCCUCGGGCUCGGGGUACUCGUCCGGGGGGCUGGUGAGCUUCAGCUUGCUCAGGAUCUGCCCCCGGAUCGCCUCGAUCCUCUUGCGCAUGAACUGAUCCAUGUCGAGGGUGCUGCAGGUAGACAGGCUGAGAGCCACGGCGGCCAGAUCCAGGGUGAGGAACACGCUCAGGAGAUAGCAGUGCAUCUUAAGUGCUUAAAUACAGCGCCCCCCGAAAAAAGAGUGACUUUAACCACGAACGACAACGGUGGGGGUGGGGGGGUGGGGGGUUAAUAUUAAAAAAUAACAGGGGGAUGUGUGCAAACAAAGGGAGGAUCUGCAGACAAAAUGCAGUGAACAACCGGACUGCAAGGACGGCUUGCAAUCCACAAACGCACGGGAGUCGCCAGUGGAAAAAAUACCAAUAGUGAUACAAAAAAAUAAAAAAGCAGCCUAGUGAGAGUCGGGGGUGGAGAGAGCGGCAGUUAAAAAAA